GGCUCAGGAUGAACGCUAGCUACAGGCUUAACACAUGCAAGUCGAGGGGCAGCGAGAGGAAAGCUUGCUUCCUUGUCGGCGACCGGCGCACGGGUGAGUAACGCGUAUCCAACCUGGCCCUUAGUAGGGGAUAGCCCGGCGAAAGUCGGAUUAAUACCCUAUGUUUUCCAAUGCGGACAUCUAAAAAUGGAACAAAGAUUUAUCGCUAAGGGGGUGGGGAUGCGUCUGAUUAGCUUGUCGGCGGGGUAACGGCCCACCGAGGCUACGAUCAGUAGGGGUUCUGAGAGGAAGGUCCCCCACAUUGGUACUGAGACACGGACCAAACUCCUACGGGAGGCAGCAGUGAGGAAUAUUGGUCAAUGGGCGUGAGCCUGAACCAGCCAAGUAAGCGUGCAGGAUGACUGCCCUAUGGGUUGUAAACUGCUUUUAUAGGGGAAUAAAGUGGCGUACGUGUACGUUUUUGUAUGUACCCUAUGAAUAAGGACCGGCUAAUUCCGUGCCAGCCGCGGC
rnacentral:rRNA from 1 species